GCAAUAAAAACCCUAACACAAUCUUCUCAAUUAAAAAUCCAGCAUAAAUUAGGAAUAGAGCAGCGGUUCUCGACAUGUGGGUCUCGACCCCUCUGACAAACCUCUAUCUCCAAAAAUAUUUGAUUAUGAUUAUAACAGUAGCAAAAUUACUCACCACAACUUGAGAAACAGUAUUAAGGGGUUGCGACAUUAGGAAGGCUGAGAACCACUGGAAUAGAGCGUAAUAAAUUAAACAAAGGAAGGCUGGGAUGUGGCUCAGGUGUAGAGCCCCUGCCUAGAAUUCCCCAGUGAGGGGCUGGGGGCGUGGCUCAGGUGUAGAGCCCCUGCCUAGAAUCCCCCAGUAAAGGACUGGAGGUGGUAAUCAGUAAUAAAACACUUGCCUAGAAUCCAUCAGAGAGGGGCUGGGGCUUGGAUCGGUGAUAGAGCAAAGGAAAUCUAUCAAACUGACUAAUCCUAUCCCUAUCCACCCUAUUCCAUGAAAACAUUUGUGGUGGAUUGAAUAUGGUUGGCCCAGGGAGUGGUACUGUUAGGAGGUGUGGCCUUGUUGGAGGAAGUGCGUCACUGUGGGGGGUGGGGGGCUUUGAGACAUUCCUCCUACCCACCUGAAGAUGCUGAGUCUUCUAGCAGUCUUCAAAUCAAAAUGUUGAACUCUCAGCUCCUCCAGCAUCAUGCCUAUCUGGACGCUGCCAUGCUUCCCUCCACGAUGAUAAUGGACGGAACCUCAGAGACUGUAAACCAGCCCCAAUUAAAUGUUGUCCUUUAUAAGAGUUACCUUGGUCAUGAUGUUUCUUCACAGCAAUGAAGACCCAAACUAAGACAGCAUCCACUAAGAUCUAAAGCCAAGCAAGGUUUCUUUCCUCACUCAAGGCUAGGUCCCUGUUUGGAGACACCCUGUUCCAACCACACGCUUAAUUGACACUGAGUCACCCCUAAGAUGUUAAUAAACAGACUAACAGUGUCAGCCUAACCCAAGCAUGCGGGGUGUUGUGCAAUUUUCAGUAAGUUUGUUUGUUUGUUUGUUUGUUUGUUUUGGAUUUUUUGUUUUUGUUUUCUGUUUGUUUGUUUUUUCUAGACAGAGUUUCUCUGUAUAGCCCUAGCUGUCCUGGAACUCACUUUGUAGACCAGGAUAGCUAGGGCUCACCUCUGGCCUCUCUCUCUUCCUCUCACCCCCCUCUUACCCUCUCCUCCCCCCGCCCACCUCUGUGAGUGUGUGUAACACACAGAGGCAUUCAAUGCCAACCAAGCUGCACAUGGAGAAGCUAAGAAGACAAGUUGCAGGAGUCAGUUCUCUCUUUCCACAAUGUGGGUUCUGGGGUCAAACUCCAGCUUGGCCAUCUCACCAGCCAACAAGCAAUCUUGAUAGACCCCCUAGUUUCCCUAAGCAGACAACAGGAGACUUGUUAGUCAGCUACAGUGGUCGUAUCACUUCCUGUGAUCUUUUAGCAUCAGUGUCUCAGAAUCUGGCUAUGAGAGUUCUUAAAAUUCUUCUCUUCCUUCCUCUAUCCAGAGUCUCAAGCCAUUUAGGAUCACCAAACUGGAAAGACCCAGGAUUCUACCCCCUAACGUUUAUAGUUCUUGGACAAGCCACUGACGUUAUACAGGACUCACCUUCUGCAUUCUAUACAUAGAAAGGCAGCAUUUUAAAAACAUGGUGCUGGGGGUAUGUUAGAAAAAUAUAUAGGCAGGUAGAGAAACGGCCUUCCUGCCAGGGUUGUUUCCUUCCUUAGAGAAAGGUUAGAAGGACAAAUGCCUAGGCAAAAUGUUAAGAUGAGAGGACCCAUAAGUCUUAUAAAAUGCUAAACACAGAGCCCUUGUAACGACUCCCAACUCAGCGAUUGUCAGCUUGCCUCAAUAAAGCUUCACACACGCACACCUUUGUCCCUCUCAGUCAGUUCUUUGCCUGCCCCACAAAUAAACUCAACCAGAAUCUUAGUUACCGUAGGGGACAAAGAUGGGUCAGCUCUAAAGGGCAUAUGCUGCUUUUUCGGAGAACCUGAAUUUGGGUCCCCAGCACCCACAUGGGGUGGCUCACAACAGCCUGUGACUGAAGUUUCCAGGAGAUCCAACGCCCUCUUUGGGUGCGUGCACGCACGCGCACACACACACACACACACAAUUUAAAAGUACGAUCACUGACAGUGUUUGUUUGUUUUUUAAUUUCUUUUAAACUGCCCUUGACUCUUGCUUUGCCAUUUAUAAUUUAGCAAUCUUGAACAAAGUGAGUUCGUUUCUCUGAGUCACCUGUAAAUGAGGCUCUUCGUGAAGAUUUAAUGACAUCAUCUGAGCAAAGCCCCCAUCCCCGGAAACCCCUCCUUUCAGCCCCCUCUCUCCAAACUGAAGCUCAUUAUAGGAGGCAGAAGAGUAUAGACAAGUUCUUACUGCAGAUGCCAGUGAUCCCAUAGCUGGUGAGGCAAGCAAAUCUGGCUAUGAAAUCUUCGAGACAGUACACUUCGCCCUCCAGCCUGCUCCUGCCCAAAGAGGCAGCACAAGUCUGUGCGUUAACUUGCUCCAGUCACCCAUUGCUCUCUGAAGCAGGUGGUUCAAGGAGCGCAAUGGUCCACGAACGAACUACAUUUCCCAGCAUGCACUUCCAGCCAGGGACCCUAGAGACUAUCCUGCGAACCUUGUCCGAACCGCUUUAGGAGUAUCGGUCCGUAAUCUCCAUUCAUUCAGCUCCUAUGUUUCCCUUGGCUAAAUGAAUCAGUUACCGUGAACUCCAACACGAACGGGUCUCCUGCAGGGCUUGUAGAAAGCGUUGGUUCAUUCGCCCUGAUAGGAGAUAGGGCCUAAAGACCAGGACUCAUGUAGCCUGGGACGAACCCAAGGCCUCGCAGCUU
ensembl:processed_transcript